rnacentral:rRNA from 1 species
UGGCGAACGGGUGAGUAACACGUGGGUGAUCUGCCCUGCACUUCGGGAUAAGCUUGGGAAACUGGGUCUAAUACCGGAUAGGAGCCAUCUUUAGUGUGGUGGUUGGAAAGUUUUUUCGGUGUAGGAUGAGCUCGCGGCCUAUCAGCUUGUUGGUGGGGUGAUGGCCUACCAAGGCGACGACGGGUAGCCGGCCUGAGAGGGUGAUCGGCCACAUUGGGACUGAGAUACGGCCCAG